rnacentral:lncRNA from 1 species
ACGUAUUUUGCAAAUUUUGAUAUCACAUAUUUUGUAAAUUUAAAAUAUUUCGUGAAAUUUAUUGUAAAUUUUACACUAAAUUCGUAAAAUUACGUUAAGUAAUUACGGAUUUCAUACACUAAGUUUUUUUGCGAUCUAGUUACGAUCGUAUUUCUUAUGGAUCUCUGAUCUGUAUAAAUUUAUAGAUCAUAUAUAAACUUUACAGAUUGUGUUUCAUCGACUCGGCCAAGAUGAAUACGUCAUCAUCAGACUUGUAUAAAUUUUAAGUUACAAACUGGAUCCGGAAUCAAUUGAACGACCAGAAACCUACCUGUUCUGGUACGCCUAAUUUGAAAAUCUGUUGCGAUCGACGAAUCCAAGAUUUGAAGGAUGGCAAGAAAAGAACUGGGUAGUCUUCGAUCGCCUGGAUACAAGCAUCUGUUGGACCUCCGAUGUAUUUACUUGUUAUGAACUAUGAAAAAGCAAGUGAUUGUUGGCUCACACUGAAGACAAACCUGUCACCUAGAAAGUCCAUUCACUCCCAAAGCAUUCAGGAUCAAUUGCAAAAUUUAAAAAAAACUGAUGACAUGACAAUGAAAGAAUAUCUGAUCCAGAUUCGCACGCUCACUGAUUCUCUAGCAUCGACUGGUGAUAGAGUUAAGGAUUCAUAUAUUAUUGAGUUCUAGCUGAAGGGGUAGGACCAGAGUUUCAUCCUUUCAUCUCCGGAAUACAUACCAACCCAAAUAUUUCUUUCGACGACUUCUUUCAUCUGAUUAUCCGGGAAGAAUUAUUUCUCAAGAGGAAUCAUGGUAUUGGAUCCCCACCAUUGGCUUUCGCAACAUAUACUAAAAACUGGAAUCGUGGUCGAGGUCGUGAUAAUCGAGGAGGUCGUGCUAGGAGAAAUUGAGGCAGAGGUCAAAAAUGGCAAGGAAAUAAAUCUGCCCAAUCUUUUGGAAGGUAAAUGAAAAUAAAGUUGUCUGUCAGUUAUGUGAUAAAUCAGGACAAUCAGCCAAAACUUGUAGAAGAGGUUUUCAAACAUUUGCUACUGCGGUAAAUGAAGAAGAAGAUUACGAAGGAAACUAGUUAUUAGACUCUGGUGCGACAAACCAUAUGACACCGGAUAUCAACAACAUGACUGAUGUACAAGCAUACACAAGUAAACAAGCUAUAAUUGUUGGUAAUGGAUUAGGAUGCCCAUUACACAUGUCGGGACAGUGGUGUUAAAAACACCCUAUGGUCCGUUGUUAUUAAAGAACACACUUUGUCUUUCUAAAUUAAAAAGAAAUUUUUUAUCAUGACAUUAUUGAGAGUUACCUGAGACUUAUUAAGAUCCGGAUAUAUGGCCUUCUUUCCCAAUACUCUAGCCAUAACUAUAUGCUUAGAGGCCACCUGCUUCUCCAACUUGCUUUCUGGUAUCAGUGCAUACGCUUUAUUAUUUCUCAUCGUUGGUCUGAUGUAACACAGAUUACGGAUUAACUUUGGUCGCAUGGAUAUGGAACCCAAGUAUAGGUAAUACAGACCAACUCCCUCCGAAGAGAGCACGUCCACUACAAAAAAAAGGACAUUGUAUGGCGACCUAUUGAUGGUGAAUUUCCGCCAUCAAUAAUUCAGUUAUUUUGAUGGCGGUUAUCCGCCAUCAAUUGUUUUAAUCCGUCGAGGAAAGGCUAAGACUCGACGGCGGUUUCAAUUUAUUUUCGAUGGCGGUGUUUUUACAUGGCGGAAAUCCGUCAUCGAUACUAUUUCACCAACGUUUACAUAGGGACGUCCGUCAUCU